CAAGUCGAGGGGUAUAGGUUUUCGGACCUAGAGACCGGCGCACGGGUGCGUAACGCGUAUGCAAUCUACCUUUCACAGAGGGAUAGCCCAGAGAAAUUUGGAUUAAUACCUCAUAGUAUGUGAGAAUGGCAUCAUUUUCACAUUAAAGUCACAACGGUAAAAGAUGAGCAUGCGUCCCAUUAGCUAGUUGGUAAGGUAACGGCUUACCAAGGCUACGAUGGGUAGGGGUCCUGAGAGGGAGAUCCCCCACACUGGUACUGAGACACGGACCAGACUCCUACGGGAGGCAGCAGUGAGGAAUAUUGGACAAUGGGCGCAAGCCUGAUCCAGCCAUGCCGCGUGCAGGAUGACGGUCCUAUGGAUUGUAGACUGCUUUUGCACAGGAAGAAACAACUCUACGUGUAGAGUCUUGACGGUACUGUGAGAAUAAGGAUCGGCUAACUCCGUGCCAGCAGCCGCGGUAAUACGGAGGAUCCAAGCGUUAUCCGGAAUCAUUGGGUUUAAAGGGUCCGUAGGCGGUUUAGUAAGUCAGUGGUGAAAGCCCAUCGCUCAACGGUGGAACGGCCAUUGAUACUGCUAGACUUGAAUUAUUAGGAAGUAACUAGAAUAUGUAGUGUAGCGGUGAAAUGCUUAGAGAUUACAUGGAAUACCAAUUGCGAAGGCAGGUUACUACUAAUGGAUUGACGCUGAUGGGACGAAAGCGUGGGUAGCGAACAGGAUUAGAUACCCUGGUAGUCCACGCCGUAAACGAUGGAUACUAGCUGUUGGGAGCGAUCUCAGUGGCUAAGCGAAAGUGAUAAGUAUCCCACCU
rnacentral:rRNA from 1 species